rnacentral:tRNA from 1 species
UAGCUCAGUUGGUAGAGCAUUUGCCUCACAUGCAAAAGACCCUGGGUUUGAACCCUAG